GACGAACGCUGGCGGCGUGCUGAACACAUGCAAGUCGAACGAAGUGGCGAACGGGUGAGUAACGCGUAAUAAACCUGCCCUUAAGAGGGGGACAACAGUUGGAAACGACUGCUAAUACCGCAUACUGAAGGAGGGGAUGGCGUCGGAUUGGCUAGUUGGAGGGGUAACGGCCCCCCAAGGCGAUGAUCAGUAGCCGGUCUGAGAGGUUGAACGGCCCCAUUGGGACUUAGCCACGGCCCAGACUCCUACGUGAGGCAGCAGUGGGGAAUCUUCCGCAAUGGACGCAAGUCUGACGGAGCCACGCCGCGUUCUUGAUGACGGCCUUCGGGUUGUAAAGCUCUGUUAAUCGGGACGCGGUACCGGAAUAGAAAGCCACGGCUAACUACGUGCCAGCAGCCGCGGUAAUAC
rnacentral:rRNA from 1 species